GUCAGGAUGGCCGAGCGGUCUAGGCGCCAGAGCUAAACACGACCCAAGGUUAACCUUUGCCCUGCCAUGUGAAUCAAAAACCGAGCGCUCGGUUCCACUCAGUGCACGCGGGUUCGAAUGCCGUCUCUGACA